GGUGGGGUUCCCGAGCGGCCAAAGGGAGCAGACUGUAAAUCUGCCGUCAUCGACUUCGAAGGUUCGAAUCCUUCCCCCACC
rnacentral:tRNA from 26 species